AACCUAUGAGCUUGCCAUACCCAAAAUAAUUUUCAGAUAAAGGGAUAACUUCAUCAAAAAAAUCGAGAAAAAAAGGGAUAUCUUCGUGCAACAGAUGCUUUUUGUGUAGAGGAAACCAACAAUCAUUUGUUCCUACAUUGCAGUGUUACGACGCAUUCAUCGGGCUGUCUUCAAUAUUUUUGGACACCAUUGGAUAAUGUCACAGUCAAUCAGAGAACCAUUGGAUUAUUGAUGGAAAUGCAGCCUUCACAGGUACUUAAUAAGUAUUGGCGACUAUUCCAGCAUGAGUCUGCU
rnacentral:lncRNA from 1 species